rnacentral:misc_RNA from 1 species
GAUGAUGAAGAUGAGGAGGAAGAUGAGGACGGGGUGAUACUUCGGCUGGAGGAGGGCAUCAAUGGGAUAAAUGUUUUGGAUCAUAUUGAAGUUUUUGGUAGGGAUCAUAGUUUCCCCAAUGAAACUCUUCAUGUGAUGCCAGUUGAAGUUUUUGGUUCUAGACGUCAGGGCCGAACUACAUCCAUUUACAAUCUUCUUGGUAGAAGUGGUGACAGUGCUGUCCCCUUGCGCCAUCCCCUUCUAGUUGGACCUUCUGCAUCACACUCGGCCUCUGGCAGACAAUCAGAUAGGAACUUGGAGAAUACUUCAUCUCAGCUGGAUAGUAUCUUCCG